UUUGUUGUUUUGGCAGAAAGAUGGCAUAAUACCUAUGUACCUAUCUAUAUAUAGUUUGAUAUCUAUGUAUACAGUUAAUUUUGUCUUUCUUUAAAAUUUGUUCCAUAUUUUUUUUUGUUUUACCUUAUUGCAACUUACAAUAAUAUAUAUAGUAAUUGGCACCACAUAUUAAUUUAUUACUGUAAUUUUUUUUUGCUUUUUGAUUGAAUAUCAAAUACUUAUUAUAGAUUGCCUAAUGAUUAUGCCCAAAGGGAACAAUGGGUUUCAUUAACGGAAAUCAACACAAUUAAAAAGAACAUAUUUGUUUGUUCAGAUCACAUCCCUAGAAGUGAUAUAAGGGAGAUAAUAUUAUCAGUAGCCAGACUUUAUUAAAAAAAUCAGCUCUACCUUAAAGGAUUUCUGAUGCACUGGUUAAAAACACAGCAGCCGAUAAUUCAGUUAAUUUACCAAGUGAUUUACCCUUCAAAGCUGCAGGGGUAACUUUCCUGAAGAGUGCAAAAACUUCUUUAGCUUUCAAAACGGUAUAUAGUACAAACAGUGAAGCUAAUAUAGACAAAUCUGAUCAUUCAUCAUCAACAAUAACUGCAUCUGAGAAUUAUAGUUCUACAGUAACCGUGGGGUCUAGGUCAACAAUUACUAUUUCUCAUCCAAGCCGUUUUUGUUUAACUGCUACACAUUCCCUGACUCUGCCAAGGAAAAGGGCAAAAUCAAAAUGAUAUCCUGAGGACCUAAGCACUGAUGAUUCCACCGUUUCAAAAGCUAAAUCACUUGUCACCAGAUUAUGGAAAAAAAAUAAAGAACAAAAAAUUAAAAUUCGAGGAUUGCAACAAGCAAAUUUGCGCCAAAGAAAUUGAAUUAGAUGUCUCAAGUCAUUAUUAAAAUACUAACAUACUAACAAAAAAUAAUAACAUGAUUUUCGAAAAAGCCCAACAUACUACAUAUUUUAUUUGACUUGUAAAAGUACUUGUUUGUAUAUUACUAUUAAUAAACUAUCUA